rnacentral:rRNA from 1 species
AACGAACGCUGGCGGCGCGUCUUAACCAUGCAAGUCGAGCGGCAGGCAGCAAUGCCGAGAGCGGCGGACUGGUGAGUAACACGUGGAUAACGUACCCCGAUGUCCGGGACAGCCUGUAGAAAUAGAGGGUAAUACCGGAUAGAUCACUGUUUACGUGAGGUAGACAGCGGGAAAGGAGCUUCGGCUCCGCGACGGGAUCGGUCUGCGGCCCAUCAGCUGGACGGCGGGGUAAAGGCCCGCCGUGGCGAGGACGGGUAUCCGGCCUGAGAGGGCGGACGGACACAUUGGGACUGAGAUACGGCCCAGACUCCUACGGGAGGCAGCAGGUAAGAAUAUUCCGCAAUGGGGGGAACCCUGACGGAGCGACGCCGCGUGAAAGAAGAAGGCCGGAAGGUUGUAAAGUUCUUUUCUGUCCGAGGAAUAAGUUUCGGAGGAAAUGCCGGGACGGUGACGGUAGGGCAGGAAUAAGCACCGGCUAAUUACGUG